CAACCAUGGUCUUGAUAGUGCCUCCAUCAUCUCUGUGAACUCCUGUUGCGAUUGCGAGUUCCUCUUGUGGUUAAAAUAAUUGUACAUCUUCUCUGCCUAGUUGAUAUGUAGGUAGUGUGUUUUCCUCUUCUGGUUGAUAUGCAGGUAAUGGAUGCCCAUUGGAUGUUGAUGUCAUAUAGGAAAGAGGGAAGCACCCCAAUGCAUUGCAGUUGAGUUUGAGAAAUAAUUGUUCUUAUAAUGCAAGUUGGGCUCUGUUAAUUGACGAAUUCUAUUUUAGAAGCCCACUUUUAUAGGAAAAUGGGUGCUGUUCAAAGAAGUAGGUAGCUUGCAUGAAUUCUUCUUGCGGGAAUUGUGCAGAACUGCAAAAUCCAGGACAAUUUGGUCUCCCCAUAACCACUUUGGUGUCCUGUUAUGGAACAAGUUAUACACCACUCUGCUAGCUUAGUAACUAGAAAACCCCGACAAGAUCCUCUGUAUGAUAUCUCAAAUUUGGAUCCAAGCUCAAGAAGGAAUACAGGUAGAGCUACUGUUGACUUCCUCUAUAUAUAUAUAUAUGUAUUGCAGGAACGUUAGUACUGUUGAUAUUUGAAUUUUGUUAUAUUAACAAAAAUAGUUCAAACUAUUUGUAUGGGAUGUCCAACAGUGCAAACGAUGUGUAUGACCUAUGUAUAUCUCUAGAGUUUGAUUGCAAAAUAUGCAGAUAUAGUCAAGUGAUAUGGGUGUAUCUUGAACGUGGUUUAUGGAAGAAAAUAAUUUCUAUGGAAGCAUUCUAUAUUUUUUAUAUAGAUAUUAUGAAAUACAACCUUUUCAAGUACAUUUUUACAGAUAAUUCCAUUUAGCAUGGAUGAACAUCAAUUUUUCAAUGGCGCGAAAACUAUUGUAUAUUGUUAUUAGUGGGAUAUCUUUUAGUCUUCACUCUUGUAAUAGGCCUACUCGAGACUUCAUGUACGUCAACUUGCAUGUCUACAAUAGCCAAAGGUGAAAUCACUUCUGUCAUCACCUCUUCACAGAACAUGUUUUCAUUGUAUUCUCAUCGCAUUUUUGAUUUUCAGAGAUGUAGAAAUGGUGAUCGUUUAUUACAUCUUCAAAUUCUGGAAAAUAUAUAAGCACAAUCCAACUCCCCGUUGGCUGAGAGAAAAUCUGUUUGUUACAGUGAUCACCCGGAUAAUUGAAUGGUGCAUGGCUAAGUUGUUGUGGAGAAUGGGGGCUAAUUUGUUGAUUGCAAGGUGGGGAAUGGGGGCCAAGUUGUUGAUUGCAAGGUGGAGAAUGGGGCUACUACCAAAUAGUUUUACAUUCACAUUGUAGAACAUGACUUUCAUGGUCAAUGCAUAGGAAUCAUUGGAUUGUGUUCCAUGUAAUGCAACCUACAUGAUUUAAUAAAGAGAUCUUUCUGUUUA